GGCACUUUGGCGGAGUGGUUAACGCGCUGCCCUGCUAAGGCAGUUCCCUCGGGAGCGAGUGUUCGAAUCACUCAGGUGUCG
rnacentral:tRNA from 1 species